AUUGAACGCCGGCGGCAUGCCUUACACAUGUAAGUCGAACGGCAGCACGGGAGCAAUCCUGGUGGCGAGAGGCGAACGGGUUAGCAACGUAUCGGAACGUGCCUAGUCGUGGGGGAUAACGUAGCGAAAGUUACGCUAAUACCGUAUACGAUCUAUGGAUGAAAGCGGGGGAUAGCAAGAUCUCUCGCGAUGGGAGCGGCCGAUAUCAGAUUAGGUAAUUGUUUGGGUAAAGGCUCACCAAGCCGACGAUCUGUAGCUGGUCUGAGAGGACGACCAGCCACACUGGGACUGAUACACGGCCCAGACGCCUACGGGAGGCAGCAGUGGGGAAUUUUGGGAAGUGUGCGAAAGCCUGAUCCAGCCAUGCCGCAUGCAGGAUGAAGUGCUUCGGGUUGUAAACUGCUUUUGUACGGAACGAAAAGGUUUGGCCUAAUAAGCUGAGCUCAUGACGGUAACGUAAGAAUAAACACCGGCUAACUACGUGCCAGCCGCCGCCGUAA
rnacentral:rRNA from 1 species